rnacentral:rRNA from 1 species
AGUCGAACGGCAGCACGGACUUCGGUCUGGUGGCGAGUGGCGAACGGGUGAGUAAUGUAUCGGAACGUGCCUAUAGCGGGGGAUAACUACGCGAAAGCGUAGCUAAUACCGCAUACGCCCUUCGGGGGAAAGCGGGGACCUUCGGGCCUCGCACUAUUAGAGCGGCCGAUAUCGGAUUAGCUAGUUGGUGGGUAACGGCUCACCAAGGCGACGAUCCGUAGCUGGUUUGAGAGGACGACCAGCCACACUGGGACUGAGACACGGCCCAGACUCCUACGGGAGGCAGCAGUGGGGAAUUUUGACAAUGUGGGAAACCCGAUCCAGCCAUCCCGCGUGUGCGAUGAAGGCCUUCGGGUUGUAAAGCACUCCCGCAGGAAAAGAAACGGCACGGGAUAAUACCCCGCAAAUUGACGGUACCUGCAGAAUAAGCACCGGCUAACUACGUGCCAGCAGCCGCGGUAAUACGUAGGGUGCAAGCGUUAAUCGGAAUUACUGGGUAAAGCGUGCGCAGGCGGUUCGGAAAGAAAAAGAUGUGAAAUCCCAGAGCUUAACUUUGGAACUGCAUUUUUAACUACCGAGCUAGAGUGCACGAGGAGGUGGAAUUCCGCGUGUAGCAGUGAAAUGCGUAGAUAUGCGGAGGAACACCGAUGGCGAAGGCAGCCUCCUGGGAUAACACUGACGCUCAUGCACGAAAGCGUGGGGAGCAAACAGGAUUAGAUACUCCUGGUAGUCCACCGCCUCAAACGAUGUCAACUAGCUGUUGGGGCUCGGGCCGGUAGCGCAGCUAACGCGUGAAGUUGACCGCCUGGGGAGUACGGUCGCAAGAUUAAACUCAAAGGAAUUGACGGGGACCCGCACAAGCGGUGGAUGAUGUGGAUUAAUUCGAUGCAACGCGAAAACCUUACCUACCCUUGACAUGUCUGGAAUCCCGAAGAGAUUUGGGAGUGCUCGCAAGAGAACCGGAACACAGGUGCUGCAUGGCUGUCGUCAGCUCGUGUCGUGAGAUGUUGGGUUAAGUCCUGGCAACGAAAGCAACCCUUGUCAUUAGUUGCUACGAAAGGGCACUCUAAUGAGACUGCCGGUGACAAACCGGAGGAAGGUGGGGAUGACGUCGUCUGCGGUCUUAUGGGUAGGGUCACACACGUCAUACAAUGGUCGGGACAGAGGGUCGCCAACCCGCGAGGGGGAGCCAAUCCCAGAAACCCGAUCGUAGUCCGGAUCGCAGUCUGCAACUCGACUGCGUGAAGUCGGAAUCGCUAGUAAUCGCGGAUCGCAUUGUCGCGGUGAAUACGUUCCCGGGUCUUGUACACACCGCCUGUCACACCAUGGAGUGGGUUUUACCAGAAGUAGUUAGCCUAACCGUAAGGAGUGGCGAUUACCACGGUAGGAUUCAUGACUGGGGAAGUCGUAACAAGGUAA